rnacentral:rRNA from 2 species
GCUUGCAAAUGAUUGAUUUUGGUCGCCGGCGAGUGGCGGACGGGUGAGUCCCACGUACCUAACCUGCCCAGAAGCGGGGGACAACAUUUGGAAACAGAUGCUAAUACCGCAUAACAACGUUGUUCGCAUGACAAACGCUUGGAAGAUGGCUUCUCGCUAUCACUUCUGGAUGGACCUGCGGUGCAUUAGCUUGUUGGUGCCGUAACGGCCUACCAAGGCGAUGAUGCAUAGCCGAGUUGAGAGACUGAUCGGCCACGGUGGGACUGAGACACGGAACAUACUCCUACGUUAGGCAGCAGUAGGGAAUCUUCCACAAUGGGCGCAAGCCUGAUGGAGCAACACCGCGUGAGUGAAGAAGGCUUUCGGCUCGUAACGCUCUGUUGUUAAAGAAGAACACGUAUGAGAGUAACUGUUCAUACGUUGACAAUAUGGCCU